AAGGUCGUGAGGACUUGUCUGGAGGGUGAAAGCGGGGUUUGCAGGCGCACGCGCCUGCCCGCUUGAACGACGCGAGCGCUGUGAGCGGCUGCCAGCCGGAGCGCAAAAGUGCGAGGCGACGGACAGAAACUGCAUAGAAGGCCUGGUCUGCGGGCGAGUUGGCACCCCAUGACGAAGCCCACCGGAUACGGCGGACAAGGUAAAUGCAGCGCUUGUGCACGGAAACAUCGCGUU
rfam:Candidatus Accumulibacter phosphatis clade IIA str. TW-1, complete genome.